GGGUGGUAAUGCCGGAUGCUCCAGUUGAUCGCAUGGUCUUCUGGGAAAGCUUUCGCGGUAUGGGAUGGGGUCGCGUCCUAUCAGCUUGACGGCGGGGUAACGGCCCACCGUGGCUUCGACGGGUAGCCGGCCUGAGAGGGCGACCGGCCACAUUGGGACUGAGAUACGGCCCAGACUCCUACGGGAGGCAGCAGUGGGGAAUAUUGCACAAUGGGCGCAAGCCUGAUGCAGCGACGCCGCGUGAGGGAUGGAGGCCUUCGGGUUGUAAACCUCUUUUAUCGGGGAGCAAGCGAGAGUGAGUUUACCCGUUGAAUAAGCACCGGCUAACUACGUGCCAGCAGCCGCGGUAAUACGUAGGGUGCAAGCGUUAUCCGGAAUUAUUGGGCGUAAAGGGCUCGUAGGCGGUUCGUCGCGUCCGGUGUGAAAGUCCAUCGCUUAACGGUGGAUCCGCGCCGGGUACGGGCGGGCUUGAGUGCGGUAGGGGAGACUGGAAUUCCCGGUGUAACGGUGGAAUGUGUAGAUAU
rnacentral:rRNA from 3 species